CUGGACAUUAGUGUCUGACUAUUGCAGUGAGAAGAUACAGGCAGUGAACCCUUUACUAGCAGCUUUUAGGCUCUUAAUGGAGGGGACAGUUUGCUAAUGAAAAGAGGGUCCCAAUCUCUGCAGAGCUCUACUUAGUGACCACAGAGGCUGAACUGUUGAUCAGGCAGAAGGAGGAGCUGUGGAGGCUGAGGAAGGACAGACAGGAGACUGGGAAGCUCACAGAGAAGGACACUUUGUUUCUGUUAGUGCAGCCCAGGGGAAGAGCUCUGAGAGCUGGGCCCAGAUGAUCAGGACCCUGGACCCCUUGUCCACAGAGACAGUGAGGGCAGGCUGCCGUCUGUGUGUGGAGUACAGUGGGCUCCUUCACCUCCUGUGCUGUGUCCUGGUCUGGAUCAAGAGGUUUCUCACACAGAAACAGGGUGGCUGUGUUCCAGUAGCCCAGAGUUGGCCCUGCCCGGGCUGUCUGUAGUAAGAAGAGAGGGAGAGAUAGAGAGCUACUACUGGACAACAGAGCCCCACAAUUCACACCCAGCUCACAUACCACACCAAGAAGAUGAGGAGCAGGGGGGAAGGGAACAUCAGACUGUCAGUAUCUAGGACAGAACACCAGGGGGCACUGUGUAUGAUUAAUUCCCUAUUCGAGAACACCUGCGCUUCUGAAUUAACGACAGUACUUUAAAUAAUGCUUUU